rnacentral:rRNA from 1 species
UGGGGAAUAUUGCACAAUGGGCGCAAGCCUGAUGCAGCGACGCCGCGUGAGGGACGACGGCCUUCGGGUUGUAAACCUCUUUUGGCAGGGAAGAAGCGAAAGUGACGGUACCUGCAGAAAAAGCACCGGCUAACUACGUGCCAGCAGCCGCGGUGAUACGUAGGGUGCAAGCGUUGUCCGGAAUUAUUGGGCGUAAAGAGCUCGUAGGCGGUUGGUCGCGUCUGCUGUGAAAACCCGAGGCUCAACCUCGGGCCUGCAGUGGGUACGGGCAAACUAGAGUGCGGUAGGGGAGAUUGGAAUUCCUGGUGUAGCGGUGGAAUGCGCAGAUAUCAGGAGGAACACCGAUGGCGAAGGCAGAUCUCUGGGCCGUAACUGACGCUGAGGAGCGAAAGCAUGGGGAGCGAACA